rnacentral:rRNA from 1 species
UACGGCGGGGGCUAGCGUUGUUCGGAAUUACUGGGCGUAAAGCGCGCGUAGGCGGCUUUGCAAGUUAGAGGUGAAAGCCCGAAGCUCAACUUCGGAAUUGCCUUUAAAACUGCGAGGCUAGAAUUGUGGAGAGGUAAGUGGAAUUCCGAGUGUAGAGGUGAAAUUCGUAGAUAUUCGGAAGAACACCAGUGGCGAAGGCGACUUACUGGACACAUAUUGACGCUGAGGUGCGAAAGCGUGGGGAGCAAACAGG